GGAAGCCUCAGCUGAUCUGCCAGCAGGUGUGGGGAGCCCUGGGGCUGUGUGCUGGGCCGUGUGCCCCAAGUAGCCGAAGUUUGGGACCAACAGCUCCAGUGCUGUGCUGUGUGCAGCUCAGGGAGAAGUUGUAUUUCAGCUCCUCAUUAUUUUAAAGCAAUUUGCAAAAAGAAGUAUCACUGGGAAACAUAGGAGGGUGCCAUUUUGGUGUCAGUUCUCUGCUGGAGACGGCAGCAGCUCAUAAGAGCCAUCACUCCAUGAGAGCGCACCGCCACUUCAUCCAACAGCCCUCGUUUCCCAGCAGACUUGGCAAAAAAGAUUAAUGAGUUGCAUGAAGAUGUGUAAGGUGUGUGCAACAAUGAAUCCUGUGGAGGCUGAGAAACCAGGGGGAGCAUCUGUUGCCCUUAGUGCCUCUGGCCUGCAGCAAGACAUUGAGUGGGUGUGCUUUUAAAAUUCCCUUAGAAGGUGCUGGUGAUUUUUAACUGCAUUGAAUUAUUGUGAUGGAGCCUCUUGGUCCUUCCGAUGCUGCACAGAAGUGCUGAGGUAGCGUUAUUUCUC
ensembl:lncRNA